rnacentral:rRNA from 1 species
UCGGGAAUUUUGGGCAAUGGGCGCAAGCCUNACCCANCNACGCCGCGUGNAGNACNAAGCCCUUCGGGGUGUAAACUCCUUUGUGGACGNACGCAGNCGGUACCCACAGAAGCCCCGGCUAANUACGUGCCANCAGCCGCGGUAAUNCGUAGGGGGCAGCGUUGCCCGAAUUUACUGGGCGUAAAGCGCACGUAGGCGGCUCCGUAAGUCUGGUGUGAAAUCUCACGGCUCAACCGAGGCUGCACCAGAUACUGCGGAGCUCGAGGGCGGGAGAGGAGAUUGGAAUUCCCGUGUAGCGGUGAAAUGCAUUGAUAUCGGGAGGAACACCAGUGGCGAAGGCGGAUCUCUGGCCCGCUUCUGACGCUGAGGUGCGAAGCUGGAGCGAAAGGGAUUAGAUACCCCUGUAGUCCCAGCCCUAAACGAUGGGCGCUAGGUGUUGGGGGAUUAACUCUCAGCGCCGUAGCUAACGCAUUAGCGCCCCGCUGGGGAGUAC